UUCUGCAUGGAGUUAGUGCAAUGUGGUCACACCACCAUUAUUCAAUUUACUCUUCAGUCUCACUUUCUUUUCACACGUGUGGCACCCUCCACAUAUUAUCUUGUGCUCUGUCAUUGGAAAUGCACACACCCCUGUUAACCACCGCAGGGCAACAGACCCCGGUGAGCCUGCAGUUCUGCUCUCCUGUCUCUCCUUACUCACCUACCAGCACAGCUGGAGAAAAUAAGGGAAAAUCGCUGCAGUAUCGUGAAUGGUACAUCUCUAGAUGUGUUCAUGCAGUGGAAUCUCAAAGUAUGCACAUGCAGGAGGAGAGCUUCCUCCUCGACAGGAGUACAGCACCCGCCUGGGUGAGGUCUGCCAGUCAUUCUGUAGCAGCAGGUCCACUACACAGCACCACAGGUAGAGAAGUGCGCAAUUUGCCCAAAUCAGCUGUUCUUUGCCGUUUGGGGAAAAAAAACUGUUAAUGAUUCAUUUAGGCUCACUUUAAUCAGUAGUCAAACCCAUCCCUAUUCUCACCACUUUAUCCAGUACUGUGUCGCAGGAAGAGCCAGAGCCUAUCUGGGCAAGCAAUGGGCGCAAGUGCUGGAGCUCCGGGUUCGAUUCCUGGUGCUGUCUGCGUGGAGUUUGUAUGUUCUCCUCUGCUCUGGUUUCCUCCCACAGUCCGGAGGCAAGCUGGUAGGUUAAUUAGCUUCUGGCCCUGGGUGAGUAUGUGCAUUUGUGGCUGUGUGCGUCCUGCAAUGCACUGUUGUCCCAUCCAGGGUGUAUCCUGCCCUGCACCUGUUGCUUGCCAGUAUAGGCUCCGGCUCCCCAGCGACCCUGAAUUGCAAGAGGCUGUUAGGAAACGGAUGGAUGAAUAAACAGACGCCUAAACAUGCUUGUUUUUACAUUCCUGUUUUCCUGCUCUUCAUUUUUCUUGAAAGCUGUCCUUAGGUGUAAGUAUAUAACCUGGGUGUUUUUGGACAGUUAUCUUCCAUGAAGAAAUGUUUUGAAUUUCCCAAUCAUAUUGCCUUGUCAGGAAAGUCUCUUUAUUGACGUGGUGAUAUUGACCUUCGAGAAGCUGCGAGGUGUGUGGUAAAUCACUCUGUCAUCUUGUUUUCUUCUUAUUUUUCUUCUUCUGCCUGAGCCAUUUCUCCCUGUGUAGCUACCCAUUUCUCAUAAAGUACUGAUUACAGUGUAGGCAUUGAUUUUCUUGCCUUUUCCCUAUCAGAGCGCCUUUCUGUGUGAAGGGUAAUUGCGAAUACAUGACUGUUCUAUUUAGGAACACACGGAGGUUAAUUCCAUGCUGUGAAGUGGAAAGGGAGAAAAAAAGCAGUGCCAUAUCUACUGUGUUUUAUCCAGGUCAUUGUGACACUGUGGGGCUCUGGUGUUUCACUUACUGCACUUGGAACAUUAGCACAUAAAAAGGCUGCAAACAGAUCCUCCUAUGUUCCAUUAAGCCUAUUAAAUAGACUGAUAACAAAAGCAGCUUGGAGAUACUGAGACAACUCUGCUGCAGAUAAAGGGACACCACUCCAGUUUUUGAACCUUUCUCUGCUGUCCUGGUUUUUAUCAUUCAAGGCCAUAGAGAUCAUCAUAUGCAAAUGACUACUAAUUCUAAGACAUUUCAUUAUUACAAUUUCCGAAUUACAUCUACUGUAUG